rnacentral:lncRNA from 1 species
AUAAACACCUUAACUAGUCAAUUCAUAUAAUAACAUAAAAUAUGAAUACAAAUUACGAUGAGUCAGGAUAAUAACAUAAUCAAUUUAUUUUCAAAUACAAAUUCAUUGAAAUCCGUAUCUUUCAAAUAUCCAUAUACAUAAUCGUAAAUCUGAUUCGAAACAAAUCACAUUCAUCUCAAUAGCCUUUAGCUACGACCACACUUAUACCCUGUGGCUAGGCCAGAAACAGAACCGCACUUAUACCCUGCGGAGUAGGCCAGAGUACCGCACUUAUACCCUGCGGAGUGGGCCAGAAUACCACAUUUAUACCCUGUGGUGGGGCCAGAAUUGCCAAUACAUAACCUCCAAUUGGCGGGGUCCAGAACAUAGUUAGGCUAAGAGUUCUAAAUCUGAUGCACAUCAAAAUUCUUUUAUAACAUAAUAGAUAUAUCACAAUCCGAUCUAAAUAUGCAUAUACGAUGCUAGAACAGUAAGUAUAUUCGAAAAAUACUAAUUCCAAUUC